CACACACACGGACACACAUCAACCCCUCCCCCUUGCUCUUUCGAAGUCCUGUUGCGCUGUCUCCUGAUUUAAGUGGGCAAGUUUUUCCUCUCUCCACACUCUCUCUCACACACACACUCUUCCACUCACACUCACACACACACAUUUUCACACACUCACAUACACACACCAGCAGAUGCGUACACACGCACAGUCGGGAGUAUGUUAGAGUGGCGGAACUAAAGAGUCGGAGUGCGAGACAGAGAUCUGUUCCGGUCGAGGAUCGCUCUACUGCGCCAUGGAGACGCUCUCGGAGGAGGACCAUGAUGAGGGCCUUACUAUGAAGAUUACAGCAGGGUGCUCCGCCCCCUUGCCCCCUCUCCCCCCUUAGGCCCCGCCCCCGAGCUGGAUGCUGACGUCUACAUGCGCUUUAUGCUCAGCCACUGUUGCUAUGACGCCAUUCCCACCAGCUCCAAACUCGUCAUCUUCGACACCACGCUACAGGUGAAGAAGGCCUUCUUUGCGCUUGUAGCCAAUGGCGUCAGAGCUGCUCCACUUUGGGAUAGCAAGCUGCAAAGCUUUGUUGGUAUGCUGACCAUAACAGACUUCAUAAACAUUCUCCAUCGCUACUACAAGUCUCCUAUGGUACAGAUGAAUGAACUGGAGGAGCACAAGAUUGAGACAUGGAGAGAGGUCUUCCUCCAGUGCUCCAACUCUAUCAUCAGCAUCAGGCCUGAAGCCAGCUUGUUUGAGGCCAUCUACUCGCUGCUGAAGAAUAAGAUCCACAGGCUGCCGGUGAUCGACCCUGAAUCUGGCAACGUGCUCCACAUCCUCACACACAAACGCAUCCUCAAGUUCCUACACAUCUUUGGUUCGAUGAUCCCGAAGCCUCGGUUCCUGCAGAAGCGCAUUGAGGAGGUUGCCAUAGGAACGUUUAGGGAGAUCGCCACGGUGCUGGAGACUGCUACCGUGCACGACGCCCUCAGCAUCUUCGUGGAGCGCAGAGUCUCCGCCCUGCCUGUCGUCAACUACGAAGGAAAGGUGGUUGCACUGUACUCCAGGUUUGAUGUGAUCAACCUGGCGGCCCAGGGGACCUAUAACAACCUGAACAUGACGAUGCGCGACGCCAUCACCAGCCGCUCCUGCUGUGUGGAGGGCGUGCUCAAGUGCUACCCGCACGAGACCCUGGAGACCAUCAUCGAUCGCAUCGCCAAGGCCGAGGUUCAUCGGCUGGUGCUGGUGGAUCAGGAUGACAUAGUGAGGGGCAUCGUCUCUCUAUCGGACCUGCUGCAGGCUCUGGUCUUGACCCCGGCAGGUAUUGACGCUCUCCUCUGUUAGCCCAACACCCCCCUCCUCCUCCUUCUCCUCCCCCCUGCCCUGCCCUGCCUCCCUGCCCUGUGGGCUCCUCACCCAUACCAAGUCCACCACCACCACCACCACCUCCACCUCCACUGCCGUCUCCUCGUCCACCUCCACCUCCACCUCCUCCUCAUCCUCUCUGACCCCCCCUCCCCUUAUCCAGAGAUGACAGUGAGUAAGCAGUGAGGAGUGAGCGGCCAAGGGGAGGAACUACAACUUCAGCGGCACUCACUAUACCUCUCAAAAGACUAUUCAAAGAUUCACAGGAAUUGGCAAUAUUAAAUGUGCAUAAUUUCCAAAGUGUUAUUAUAUUUUUUAAAGUAUCUAUUCAUUUUGUAUAACAAUUAAGUUGAAAGCCUUAGGGUAAUAUAUGUUUCUACUGCUGGAACACAUCCAAGAGGAUUGUUUUUUUGUUGAUAUCACUAGCAGCUAUUUUAAAAUACAAGUCUCCAGCAUUGCAUAGACAGACUGUCUAGUUAGAUAGGUAGCCUAAUGUAGGCCUAAACAUUCAGCGACAUGUCCUGAAGACCUGACCGUGACCUUUAACGUUAGCGUUUCUGGCCAUGGACGGCGCUCAAGGUAUCCUGUUCUGUGAGCCAAGCCAUAUUUUACUGCCACCCACCCACGCAGGACGCAGCGUCCAGCAACACUGUGACGUUCUCCUGGUCCAUCCAUGGUGAUGGCAACAACACAUCGUUUUCAAAUAAAGUCUUAAAACAAAUUUGCUUCGGCUAUU